rnacentral:tRNA from 1 species
GCCGAUGUAGCUCAGUCGAUAGAGCAAUACUUUCGUAAAGUAGAGGUCGGCGGUUUAAAUCCGCCCAUCGGCU